GACAGAGGAUGCAAGCGUUAUCCGGAAUGAUUGGGCGUAAAGCGUCUGUAGGUGGCUUUUUAAGUCCGCCGUCAAAUCCCGGGGCUCAACCCCGGGCGUGCAGUGGAUACGGGCUGGCUGGAGGCAGGCAGGGGAGAACGGAAUUCCUGGUGUAGCGGUGAAAUGCGCAGAUAUCAGGAGGAACACCGGUGGCGAAGGCGGUUCUCUGGGCCUGUACUGACGCUGAGGAGCGAAAGCGUGGGGAGCGAACAGG
rnacentral:rRNA from 1 species